ensembl:lncRNA
AUGGGUUUGGAUGGGACCCUGUGCAGUCCUCCCCUCCCCAGAGAGGUGCACCAACAUACACCAGUCUAUUCAGGCCUGGAUUCUGACCAGUAUAUAAAGUAUGAUCCAGAUUCCUCCACCUCUGGUGGGAGGCUCCUUUCUUUCAGGAGUGGCUGGGCGUGGCUGGUAAUGGCGCUGCUUGAUAUGCCCAGGUGGACCUUCAGACUGACGCUGCAUUGUCUGCCUGCCACUCCUCCAGCUGCUGCCUGCCACCCCGUCACUCUGUGGAACUUCCUGUGGAACUUACCUUUGUUUUGUGUGAACAAUACAACCUCGCCUAAAGCUGCUCCCCUGUCUGUGGUCUGCAUCCAGUCGCAGCAGGUAGUAAGUACACACAGUAAUAAAACAGUGAACAUACAGAGUCUGUACACAGGCUGCUGGGUGCUGCUCAGGCAGCAUUCAAAGUGCAGAAAGUACAGCACAGCACUAUCAGUUUAUACUGAGGGAGAACCAGAGGGAGAACCAGGACCCCACCUAUGAUCGGAAUAUGUGGUGUUAUCAUCAGGUUUAUUCUCAAUAUUUCAGUGAGAAAUGGCUGAACUCUGACAAAUGAAGCCGUGUAAAAACCUGUUAAAACUGCAGUUCAGGACUUUGGGUGGAAAAUAUAGUUAGGUUUUUCAAAACCCCAGCUCUGGGCACCUCUCUAAGAGGAGGCACUGCUGGAGAUCCUGUGGGAAUAAUAAGGCAACUUAUUUUCACGCUCUGGGACUGUCGGCUAUUUUAACAUUUUGGGACGAAAUUAAGGGAAUGAUGGAAAAAAUUAUGAAAAUAGUGAUCCCUGUGAGUCUGAGGCCUUAUACCCGGUCUUAAGAACAGACAGUGAAGGGUUUUAGGAAUAAAUAUAUGUAUAACAUCUUUCUGCCAGUGAGAAAGCCAUCACAAGGAGAUGGCUGACAAAAGAUCCUCCUUCGAUUAAGGACUGGAUCAAAGUGGUCCAAGACAUUUAUGAAAUGGAGAAGCUAACGUUCAUUCUUAGGUUGGAAAAAGAUAAGUUAGAGAACUUGUGGGGUACGUGGACGACCUACAUAGCAACAUAUAACAAACAUUCUGGGUAAAAUGGGGGAAAGGCGAAACCUCCUUGUUUUGACUCCACUCAUCUGUUUUUUUUUUCUCUUUUCUUUCUUGUUGUUUUUAUAGUUUAUAUAUAUAAAUAUAGUUUAUAUAUAUAAACUAUACACAUAAGCAC